AGGACGAACGCUGGCGGCGCGCUUAACACAUGCAAGUCGAACGUGAAGCCCGGGCUUGCCUGGGUGGAAAGUGGCGAACGGGUGCGUAACACGUGAGCAACCUGCCCCGAAGACCGGGAUAACAGCGGGAAACCGCUGCUAA
rnacentral:rRNA from 1 species